rnacentral:rRNA from 1 species
AUUGAACGCUGGCGGCAGGCCUAACACAUGCAAGUCGAGCGGCAGCGGAAAGUAGCUUGCUACUUUGCCGGCGAGCGGCGGACGGGUGAGUAAUGUCUGGGAAACUGCCUGAUGGAGGGGGAUAACUACUGGAAACGGUAGCUAAUACCGCAUAACGUCGCAAGACCAAAGAGGGGGACCUUCGGGCCUCUUGCCAUCGGAUGUGCCCAGAUGGGAUUAGCUAGUAGGUGGGGUAACGGCUCACCUAGGCGACAAUCCCUAGCUGGUCUGAGAGGAUGACCAGCCACACUGGAACUGAGACACGGUCCAGACUCCUACGGGAGGCAGCAGUGGGGAAUAUUGCACAAUGGGCGCAAGCCUGAUGCAGCCAUGCCGCGUGUAUGAAGAAGGCCUUCGGGUUGUAAAGUACUUUCAGCGGGGAGGAAGGCGAUAAGGUUAAUAACCUUGUCGAUUGACGUUACCCGCAGAAGAAGCACCGGCUAACUCCGUGCCAGCCGCCGCCGUAA